UUGGUUAAGUUAGAAAGGGCGCACGGUGGAUGCCUUGGCACUAGGAGCCGAAGAAGGACGGGACUAACACCGAUAUGCUUUGGGGAGCUGUACGUAAGCGUUGAUCCAGAGAUUUCCGAAUGGGGGAACCCACUAUCUUUAGUCGGAUAGUAUCCUUACGUGAAUACAUAGCGUGAGGAAGGCAGACCCAGGGAACUGAAACAUCUAAGUACCUGGAGGAAGAGAAAGAAAAAUCGAUUUCCUGAGUAGCGGCGAGCGAAACGGAAAGAGCCCAAACCAAGAAGCUUGCUUCUUGGGGUUGUAGGACACUCUAUACGGAGUUACAAAAGAAAGUUAUAAAUGAAGCGGUCUGGAAAGGCCCGCCAAAGACGGUAACAGCCCGGUAGUUGAAAUGGCUUUCCCUCCAGAGUGGAUCCUGAGUACGGCGGAACACGUGAAAUUCCGUCGGAAUCCGGGAGGACCAUCUCCCAAGGCUAAAUACUCCCUAGUGACCGAUAGUGAACCAGUACCGUGAGGGAAAGGUGAAAAGCACCCCGGAAGGGGAGUGAAACAGUUCCUGAAACCGUGUGCCUACAAGUAGUUAGAGCCCGUUAAUGGGUGAUAGCGUGCCUUUUGUAGAAUGAACCGGCGAGUUACGAUUUGUUGCAAGGUUAAGCGGAAAAAGCGGAGCCGUAGCGAAAGCGAGUCUGAAUAGGGCGCAUAAGUAACAGGUCGUAGACCCGAAACCAGGUGAUCUACCCAUGUCCAGGAUGAAGGUAAGGUAAUACUUACUGGAGGUCCGAACCCACGCACGUUGAAAAGUGCGGGGAUGAGGUGUGGGUAGCGGAGAAAUUCCAAUCGAACUUGGAGAUAGCUGGUUCUCUCCGAAAUAGCUUUAGGGCUAGCCUCGAGGUAAAGAGUCAUGGAGGUAGAGCACUGUUUGGACUAGGGGCCCUUCUCGGGUUACCGAAUUCAGAUAAACUCCGAAUGCCAUGUACUUAUACUCGGGAGUCAGACUGCGAGUGAUAAGAUCCGUAGUCGAAAGGGAAACAGCCCAGACCACCAGUUAAGGUCCCCAAAUAUAUGUUAAGUGGAAAAGGAUGUGGGGUUGCUUAGACAACCAGGAUGUUGGCUUAGAAGCAGCCACCAUUGAAAGAGUGCGUAAUAGCUCACUGGUCGAGUGACCCCGCGCCGAAAAUGUACCGGGGCUAAACAUAUUACCGAAACUGUGGAUGAACCUCUUUAGAGGUUCGUGGUAGGAGAGCGUUCUAAGGGCGGUGAAGUCAGACCGGAAGGACUGGUGGAGCGCUUAGAAGUGAGAAUGCCGGUAUGAGUAGCGAAAGAAGGGUGAGAAUCCCUUCCACCGAAUAUCUAAGGUUUCCUGAGGAAGGCUCGUCCGCUCAGGGUUAGUCGGGACCUAAGCCGAGGCCGAUAGGCGUAGGCGAUGGACAACAGGUAGAGAUUCCUGUACCAGUGCUAAUUGUUUAACCGAUGGGGUGACACAGAAGGAUAGGGAAUCGCACGAAUGGAAAUGUGCGUCCAAGCAGUGAGUGUGAGAAGUAGGCAAAUCCGCUUCUCGCGAAGCAUGAGCUGUGAUGGGGAAGGAAAUUAAGUACGGAAGUUCCUGAUUUCACGCUGUCAAGAAAAGCCUCUAGGAAGAGUAGUACUGCCCGUACCGCAAACCGACACAGGUAGAUGAGGAGAGAAUCCUAAGGUGAGCGAGAGAACUCUCGUUAAGGAACUCGGCAAAAUGACCCCGUAACUUCGGGAGAAGGGGUGCUCUAUUAGGGUGCAAGCCCGAGAGAGCCGCAGUGAAUAGGCCCAGGCGACUGUUUAGCAAAAACACAGGUCUCUGCAAAACCGUAAGGUGACGUAUAGGGGCUGACGCCUGCCCGGUGCUGGAAGGUUAAGAGGAGUGCUUAGCUUCGGCGAAGGUACGAAUUGAAGCCCCAGUAAACGGCGGCCGUAACUAUAACGGUCCUAAGGUAGCGAAAUUCCUUGUCGGGUAAGUUCCGACCCGCACGAAAGGCGCAACGAUCUGGGCACUGUCUCAACGAGAGACUCGGUGAAAUUAUAGUACCUGUGAAGAUGCAGGUUACCCGCGACAGGACGGAAAGACCCCGUGGAGCUUUACUGCAACCUGAUAUGGAAUGUUUGUACCGCUUGUACAGGAUAGGUAGGAGCCGAAGAGACGUGUGCGCUAGCAUACGAGGAGGCAAUGGUGGGAUACUACCCUGGCUGUAUGACCAUUCUAACCCGCCACGCUUAGCGCGUGGGGAGACAGUGUCAGGUGGGCAGUUUGACUGGGGCGGUCGCCUCCUAAAGAGUAACGGAGGCGCCCAAAGGUUCCCUCAGAAUGGAUGGAAAUCAUUCGCAGAGUGUAAAGGCACAAGGGAGCUUGACUGCGAGACUGACAAGUCGAGCAGGGACGAAAGUCGGGCUUAGUGAUCCGGUGGUUCCGCAUGGAAGGGCCAUCGCUCAACGGAUAAAAGCUACCCCGGGGAUAACAGGCUUAUCUCCC
rnacentral:rRNA from 1 species